rnacentral:rRNA from 1 species
AUUGAACGCUGGCGGCAUGCUUUACACAUGCAAGUCGAACGGUAACAGGGUGCUUGCACCGCUGACGAGUGGCGAACGGGUGAGUAAUGCGUCGGAACGUGCCGAGUAGUGGGGGAUAACGCAGCGAAAGUUGUGCUAAUACCGCAUACGUACUGAGGUAGAAAGUGGGGAACUUCGGGCCUCACGCUAUUCGAGCGGGCGACGUCUGAUUAGCUAGUAGGUGAGGUAAAGGCUCACCUAGGCGACGAUCAGUAGCGGGUCUGCGAGGAUGACCCGCCACACUGGGACUGAGACACGGCCCAGACUCCUACGGGAGGCAGCAGUGGGGAAUUUUGGACAAUGGGCGAAAGCCUGAUCCAGCCAUGCCGCGUGUCUGAAGAAGGCCUUCGGGUUGUAAAGGACUUUUGUCAGGGAGGAAAUCCCUAGUGCUAAUAACACUGGGGGAUGACAGUACCUGAAGAAUAAGCACCGGCUAACUACGUGCCAGCCGCCGCGGUAA